ACUUACGUUAUAUAUAUAUAUAUAUAUAUGUAUAUAGAUCUAUGUAUACACAUGUAGACACAGAGAGAGAGAGGGAGAGAGAGAGAGAAAAGUCGAGGUCCUUUGCAUGGAGACGAGAAAAUAUUAUCUUAUUGUCAUGUAUUACAAGGUUACAGACAUGAUUUAUAUACGUAUCAAGAUCCUUUUCUGCUAUCUAAUGUGCGCUGUUUUAGAGCAAUUCUAGCCUGAUGUAUGACUUAGAGAGUUUUAAGGCAAAAGCAAAUAACUUGUUUCCUACUUGCUAGCCUAUUCCUUUGCAAAUACAAGUUGCUGAGAAAGAGCGACGUGGACAUUCAUCUAGAUUCCCUCGCACCUAGUUGUGAACAUCAUGAGGUGCGAAUGUAAUUAGUUUCAACACCCUCAGUCUCACCUUAUGAUGAUACUAUCAGUUCAACAAGUUUUAAUGAUAGUUAUGGCCGACUUGCGGGACCGCGAUAGCGUGGAGGAGGUUAAGGUGCGCAUCCUGCAUUAAUUUCAACAACUGGUGUUGGCUCCUUGUCUCUCGCGCUCCCUUCCUUCUAUUUCAACUUCGGCAUGUUUCCCAAGCGUGAAAGUGCUUGGUUGGAAGCUUCUUCAAGUGGCAAGUUGUUUCAUUUUUUAGUAUGGACAAUCAUGGUUAUGUAUAGCAUUGUGAGUCAGAAAAGAAAAAUCCUCUCCCUCUGACCUGCCGUUACAGAAUUGAAAUAGAUAGGUUUAGAAUUCUAUUGGAGGAGGAUUUGAGUGACUAUUUGUUGGGAAGGAAUUUCUUAUCCUGUGAGAGCAAUAGCGCUGAUACGGAAGAAAUAGCUUCUGGAUGCAGUUCAAAUGUGGGCUCUUCUGACGAGCACAUUUACUGGUAGGAGGCUCACUCUGAGAGCUCUUAGAGGAGCUUAUUCUCUUAGAGGAGCUCUUACACUCUUAUUCUCUGUCUAAGUUGUUGAAAGGUCACCCUUCCCAACGGCUUGUAAAUAUAUCGGCCUCUUGCUCACUUGUAUGGAUGUAGGUUAUCUUGAUGUCACAUUCUUCAACCCUUUCUAUAAUGUAAUGAUGCUGCAACUUAAUGUGCUUAGCUCUUGCAUGCAGCACUAGGUCUUUGACCAACUUGAUAGAACUUUGAUUAUCACAAAAUACUUUUGUUGGCUUUGUUAGUCCCUCUCUCAACUCAGUCAUCAUCGUUCGCAGCCACAGGAUUUCUCUCUCCGCAUCAGAAAGAGCUCUGUACUCCACUUCUGUCGUGGAGAGUGCUACCGUAGGUUGCAGCUUGCUGCUCCAAUGAAGUGGUGCCUCCUCUACUUUCCACAACAAGCCGGAUGUUGAUCUCCUCUUGUUCAGAUCACGUCCCUAGUCUAAGUCAACAAAGCCUUGUAGAUCUAUCGCUGUGGCUUUCGAAAAGUUCACCCCAAAACUACUGGUUCCUUUGAUGUAGCGGAGGAUACUUGUAGCAGCAUCAAAAUGUGGUCGUUGAAGGGUUGAUAUGAAACGACUGAGGCAAGUGACAUGGGUUGUUGCGGGGGCACCAUUCAUCAUCUUGAACUUCUUGAGGAAAUUCAAUGCAUAGGUCCUCUUGAGCAGCAGUAUUCCAUGCGGGAAACGAACAAAUUCGACUCCAAUAUAAAUGGUGAGUAACUCCCAACUUUGACAUUUCAAAUUUGUUUUCAAGUUUGUGCUGAAGUGCAUCAAUGCGAGUUGCAUGAUUACUAGUAAUUAAUAAAUCAUCAACAUAAAUUAGAACUAUCAUGGUUAGCUCACAUUCCUGACAGAAGUACAAAUUGUGAUCUACUUCACUUUUGACCAUUCCAAAAUCAAUCAGGAACAUAUGGAUUUUGAUGUACCAAGCCCGACUAGCUUGCUUAAGGUCAAAAAUCGCUUUCUUACGCAAACAGACCUUACCUUGAUCCUCUUAUUGCAAAAGACAUAGACCCUGAGGCAGCUCCCUGUGCACUUCCUCCUGAAAAUCUCCAUUCAGGAAUGCGGUUUUAAUAUUUAGAUAUCAAAGUUUCCAAUCUUUCUUUGUCGCCAUGAUCACAACGAACUUGAUGGUUGGCCAGUUAAUCGUUGAGGCAAAGGUGUCUUGAUAAUUGAUACCUUCCCUAUACUUAAAACCUCGGGCAACAAACCUUGCCUUGAGCUUCUAUACUAUACCAUCGGCGGUCAGCUUUGUUUUAGAAAUCCAUUUCGAGGUAAUAGUUGAUUUGCCCUCUGGCCUGUGAACCACCUCCCGGGUGACUUCUCGCUUCCUCAAAGGCGUCAAGAUCUUUUAAAUCCACUACGUAUAUAUAAUCUUCAAAGCACACUGGUAGCCUUCUUACUCAGGUUGACCUCUUGUUUUGGAUCAUGGGUGAUGUAUUCGACAAAGUCAUUUGUGUGCUUGAUGUUGAGGCCAAAGUUAACUUUUGAUGAUCAUCUGUAGAUGGUUCCAGUUGAGACUGCGAACUAGCAUUCUCUUUUGGAGGCGCGACUUUGUUGAUUCAGGUGAGAUUUAGCCUUGUACUCUCUCCUAGUGGUUGCGGUGGCAUGAUUUGUUUAAUACUCAGGACUGUUUUGUCAAAGACGACGUCCUUACUUAUCACUGUUUUCAUUGUCCCAGGGGUUAAAUAACAUGUACGUUUUUGUAGUUAGAUCAUAACACAAAAAAACAGCAAAUAGAUUUAAGCUGGAUUUUGUUUCUUUGAUAUUGUGGAAUGUAAACAUAUGCCAACAAUCCAAAAAUCCUAAGAUGAUUGACUGCGGGUCUGAUUCCAAUGUACCUCUCUUUUGAAGUGACACCGUUGUUGCUGCGUGAGGGGCAUCGAUUGAUCAAGUAUGUGGCCUUGUUAAUUGCCUCCGACCAGAGGUAUGCGGGCGUGUUGCUGGCAAAAGUCAUGGGUUUGGCUCAUUCGAGGAGCGUUCUAUUCUUACGCUCCGCAACUCCAUUUUGGUACAGAGUGUAAGCUUGAGUUUUUUUGUGGACAAUACUGUUACUGGUGCAGUAUGCUUUGAACUCCAUCAAUGUAAACU